CGCAACCCUGUCCUUGUCAGAGGAAUUGGCAGGUAUUCCCGAUCUGCCAUGUAUUCCAGAAAGGCCAUGUACAAGAGGAAGUACUCAGCCGCUAAAUCCAAGUUGAAAAGAAAAAGAAGGAGAAGGUUCUCGCAACUGUUACAAAACCAGUUGGUGGUGACAAGAACGGCGGUACCCGGGUGGUUAAACUUCGCAAAAUCCUAGAUAUUAUCCUACUGAAGAUGUGCCUCGAAAGCUGUUGAGCCACGGCAAAAAACCCUUCAGUCAGCACGUGAGAAAACUGCGAGCCAGCAUUACCCCCGGGACCAUUCUGAUCAUCCUCACUGGACGCCACAGGGGCAAAGGGUGGUUUUCCUGAAGCAGCUGGCUAGUGGCUUAUUACUUGUGACUGACCUCUGGUCCUCAAUCGAGUUCCUCUACGAAGAACACACCAGAAAUUUGUCAUUGCCACUUCAACCAAAAUCGAUAUCAGCAAUGUAAAAAUCCCAAAACAUCUUACUGAUGCUUACUUCAAGAAGAAGAAGCUGCGGAAGCCCAGACACCAGGAAGGUGAGAUCUUCGACACAGAAAAAGAAAAUAUGAGAUUACGGAGCAGCGCAAGAUUGAUCAGAAAGCUGUGGACUCACAAAUUUUACCAAAAAUCAAAGCUAUUCCUCAGCUCCAGG
rnacentral:lncRNA from 1 species